GAUUAUUUACAGAACAAGACAGCUUUUAUUUACAAAUACAUCAGAAGCUCUUAUUGUGGGUCUUGUUUUGGGAACCAUCUACAUCAACAUUGGAUUCGACAAGCAAGGUAUCGAAAAGAGGUUUGGUCUCUUUGCCUUCACUCUCACAUUUCUUCUCUCUUCCACUACUGAAACACUCCCAAUCUUCAUCAAUGAAAGGCCAAUUAUACUAAGAGAAACUUCAAGCGGGGUUUAUAGACUCUCAUCUUAUCUAGUAGCAAACACUCUUGUCUUCUUGCCAUACUUGCUUGCAAUCGCUAUCAU
rnacentral:misc_RNA from 1 species